rnacentral:rRNA from 1 species
AGCAGCCGCGGUAAUUCCAGCUCCAAUAGCGUAUAUUAAAGUUGUUGCAGUUAAAAAGCUCGUAGUUGAAUUUCGGGGUUCUACCGUUGGUCGGGCUUCGUCUGUACUGGCGUGUAGAAUUUCUACCUUCUGGGGAACCAUCAUGUUAUUAAUUUGACGUGGCGGGAAACCAGGACCUUUACCUUGAAAAAAUUAGAGUGUUCAAAGCAGGCUUAUGUCUGAAUACAUUAGCAUGGAAUAAUAAAAUAGGACGGUGGUUCUGUUUUGUUGGUUUCUGAAUCACCGUAAUGAUUAAUAGGGAUAGUUGGGGGCAUUAGUAUUCAAUUGUCAGAGGUGAAAUUCUUGGGUAUAU